UACGAAGGGGGCUAGCGUUGCUCGGAAUUACUGGGCGUAAAGGGCGCGUAGGCGGACAGUUAAGUUAGAGGUGAAAGCCCAGGGCUCAACCUUGGAAUUGCCUUUGAUACUGGCUGUCUUGAGUACGGGAGAGGUGAGUGGAACUCCGAGUGUAGAGGUGAAAUUCGUAGAUAUUCGGAAGAACACCAGUGGCGAAGGCGACUCACUGGCCCGUUACUGACGCUGAGGCGCGAAAGCGUGGGGAGCAAACAGG
rnacentral:rRNA from 1 species